UACGAGGGGGGCGAGCGUUGUUCGGAAUUAUUGGGCGUAAAGAGCUCGUAGGCGGUCUGUUACGUCUGCUGUGAAAACCCAGGGCUUAACCCUGGGCUUGCAGUGGAUACGGGCAGACUAGAGGCAGGUAGGGGAGAAUGGAAUUCCCGGUGUAGCGGUGAAAUGCGCAGAUAUCGGGAGGAACACCGGUGGCGAAGGCGGUUCUCUGGGCCGAUACUGACGCUGAGGAGCGAAAGCGUGGGGAGCGAACAGG
rnacentral:rRNA from 1 species